UCAGGAGCGCACGCUGACUUUGG
rnacentral:misc_RNA from 1 species